CCCUCUGUCUCUCUCAGUUACAUCUUCAGGCUGAGCUGUACGCGGCUGGGCCAGUGGGCCAUCGGCUAUGUGACCAACGAUGGCAACAUCCUGCAGACCAUCCCCCACAACAAACCGCUGUUCCAGGCCCUCAUCGAUGGUUACAGGGAGGGCUUCUACUUGUUCCCUGAUGGUCGCAGCUACAACCCUGACCUCACUGGUUUAUGUGAGCCGACGCCUCAUGAUCACAUCAAA